GAUUCAAACAGGUGCAACGGAGGGUGAGCUACGCGGAUGAAGAGAUCUGUGUAUCCAGGGAUGGAGAAAGCCGUUCAUGGCCUUGUGAUGGCUACAGCCACACAGAGCUGCUGGUCCCCGUGUUUAGAAGAUGGUUAGCUGAAAAAGCCUUGCCAUUCAGGGUGCGCCGAUCAUACUGUCCCCACACCACCUUAUUUUAUUCUGGCCCUGAGUUGAUUCGCGUGGACGCGCAUUGCACGUGCUGAAACCCUACCGUUGACUGAUCCAUCGGAGUGCGGGGCUCAACAAGUGACACAAAGAGAAAAGGAUUAAACGCAUUUGCAUUUGGCUGUUUCAACACGGGUAAGAUAUUUUUUUUCCGUAUAAAUUGCAUUUCGUAACCAACAAAAGUUAUAAAGA